AUUGAACGCUGGCGGCACGCUUUACACAUGCAAGUCGAACGGUAACAGGCCUUCGGGUGCUGACGAGUGGCGAACGGGUGAGUAAUGCAUCGGAACGUACCCAGAGGUGGGGGAUAACGCAGCGAAAGCUGUGCUAAUACUGCAUGUGAUCUGAGGAUGAAAGCGGGGGACCGAGCAGCAAUGUUUGGCCUCGCGCCUUUGGAGCGGCCGAUGUCGGAUUAGCUAGUUGGUGGGGUAAAGGCCUACCAAGGCGACGAUCCGUAGCUGGUCUGAGAGGACGACCAGCCACACUGGGACUGAGACACGGCCCAGACUCCUACGGGAGGCAGCAGUGGGGAAUGUUGGACAAUGGGCGCAAGCCUGAUCCAGCAAUGCCGCGUGCGGGAAGAAGGCCUUCGGGUUGUAAACCGCUUUUGGCAGGAACGAAACGGUGUCCGCUAAUACCGGGCGCUAAUGACGGUACCUGCAGAAUAAGCACCGGCUAACUACGUG
rnacentral:rRNA from 1 species